UAUUACUAUUAAGGGUGUGGAUUACAGAAGACCCAUCCAUGUUUUUUGCCAUGAACUCAACGAGUUCUCCACAGAGUAAGGCUACAAGGACUGCUUGUUGUAUGUGCUUUAACUGCGAACAUCUGUACAAAUAUCUGCUCCCCGUUUUUCUAGGAGAUGGCGACGAUGCCAUUUCUGCAUCCGAAAGCACAGCUCAGCGAAGAUACCGAGAUAAACGUGAAUGUUCCUCUGAACCUGGAGGCGGGCUUUAAAUGUGGAGAACUCUGGGAGCAGCUCAGAAUGCCUGAGCAGUAGUAAACAUCUUUUUCAAGGGCAGAGACUGCGGGAAACUUGAAGACUAAGAGAAGCUCAAAAAAUCUGUUCAGAAUGGACACAGAGGCUACGGUCACUUCCCAAGGUCAGAAUGAGCAUAGAUUAGGUUCUUUGCCAUUAUCCAAAAAUUGCAUUUUAUGUAGACACUCUUCCUUCUUCUACGACUAAGAAGAACAGAAAGAACAGCUGACCAACAUGCUGCCAGUCAUGGACUUCAUCAUAAGAAACAUGCUGCAGGAAAACAAGCCUGAGGUUGGAAUAAAAGAAGAAUGGCAAAGCUUUUUAAGAACACUAAGGACUUUUUUUUUAAGAGCACUGUGUUUCUACAUGGACAAGUCACCUGGAUUUAAACAAAAAGAAAACAAUUGCUUUCACAGAAAAUUAGAUGUGCUAUUUGCAAAACAAAGUUCAGUGUCAUACCAAAUAUAGUAAAAAUUUCAAAAUGCAUUACUUGGUGAAUUUUGUUGUGCAGUUUUUGUGGGUGUGACUGUGUGCAUAACAGUGAACAGCAAGAUAAGCCAUCCACUGAAAAAUUUGGCAUGAAUCUUAAAAUGCAUUACUUGGUGAAUUCCCUGGAAGACAUAACACUGCUGAUGUGCUACAGUGAGAACCAUGAACUUGUUUAUUUGACUGUAGCAGGUACUCUGCAUAAAUUGUAUCAGUCUCCACUGGGAUUAUGAAAAGGUUGCAGUUGUCUAAUAGUAGGCUGAACAUUGUAACGAUGAGCGGUCAGGAGGCGGACGCAUGUCCGGAGAAGAGCGAGAUGUAUUAGUGGCAAAUCCAGAGUCGUAGUCAGAGUAGUCCAUGGUCAUAGAGCCGGUGAGGAGAGUCCGAGGAUACAUGAUUACACAAACACACAAGUACAUGAAGGCAAACAAGGAAAACAGGCUA